CCUUGUGGAGGAGGACGCCGAAGGUGGGGCUAAUGACUGGGGUGAAGUCGUAACAAGGUAGCCGUACCGGAAGGUGCGGCUGGAUCACCUCCUAACAGGGAGACAACAAAAUGUUUAAUAUUAUUAUUUUGUCACCUUAGGUCGAUCGGUAUCUCACGUUCUUAAUUUAUUAAGAAUUUCAUUUUCUAAGUUUUUCUAGGUCACACCCAUUAUUUUUCCUGGGCCAUUAGCUCAGGUGGUUAGAGCGCACCCCUGAUAAGGGUGAGGUCCCUGGUUCAAGUCCAGGAUGGCCCAUAUCUCUAUGUUGGGGGUAUAGCUCAGUUGGUAGAGCGCCUGCUUUGCAAGCAGGAUGUCAGCGGUUCGAGUCCGCUUACCUCCACUGAUUACCACCUCUUCCAUACUUUGUAGAAAGGAAAUGUUUUGAGUUGUGAUCAAAUUCUGAACGAAUCUAGCUUCCUAAUUAAAUUAUUAAGAUGCUGGACUCAUUGAAUUAAUUUCAUUGUUUUCAGAGAACCUUGACAACUGCAUAGAUUAUUUUUAAAGACAAUAAGCAUCUUUUUGAUGCAGAUUUAUUAUUUGUGCGAAUGCAUUAAUAACAAUUCUAUUAAGCUGAUGCUUCAAUAUUGAAGUUAUUGGUCAAGCUACAAAGGGCUCACGGAG
rnacentral:misc_RNA from 1 species